rnacentral:lncRNA from 1 species
CCUACAAAUUGAAUGAAAUUACUCAUAGGGUUGAUAUUAAUAUUAAGAGAGAUCACAUAUGUAAAGAGCUUAGUACAGUGUAGUAUAGUGCAAGUAGUUAAUAAGAGUUAGGUAUUAGCAAUAUAUUAUAGUUUCAUAAUUUUUCUUCUAAAAACCAAUUGCCAAAGGAUGUAUUCCUUUAGUUGAAAUACUAUAGCUCGAUUGUGUAUAUAAACAUAUACAUUAAUUUGUAAAAGUCAGUUUAAAAAUAAGUAUAAUGGCAUUUUUGAAACAUAGCCCUAUAAAUAAUAAACAUGCUUCCAAGUUCUCAAUGGAUGAUAAAAGCCAUCAACAGGCCCUUGUCCUGCUGAGUUUCCCUGUGAAGCCAACAGCUCAGCCAGCCCCUCAAAGGCCAUGGAAGCUUGAAGGUCAGACACUGCGUGUAGGGGUCACCUGCAGAUUUAACUCUUAAAUGCGAGUCGCUUAGAUCUGUGGCUGCAUCUAUUUCUGUGAGGUACCAGACGUCUUCUACAUUUGGAACAUUGAUGAUAUGAUAAAGGAAGUCAUGCCAAUAAUCAUACCCAAAGCUGCUUAAUGAAAGGAAGAAUGGAGAGUCACACAAACAUCACCUCUUAGUAAUAGAAACUUGACUGGGAGACCCAAGCGAGGCCCCUUCUACCACCAGCAUUCAAGCUGCAUUAAACUAAAAUGUCAAAAAUAC